GUAAGGAAAAUGGAGCCUGUUGACUAAACAGGGUUGUUCAAUCUACAGCGGUGUCCGAGUCACAUCAAUACUACAAAGGCGUUUUUUUUUACGGCGAACUAUCUCUCAGAUGCUGCAAGCAACAGGCGAUUUUGGAAAUCCCGGGAGUUGACGAACGGUGAAGGAAUGGUGGAAGUCGGAACCCUUGGUACAAAUGCCGAUGAGCAUGGACCGACGUUCAGAACCGAGGCAGCAUUUCAGCCGUCAACCCUUCUUCCCUACAAGCAAAUUUCUGCUGAAAAACAAAAUGCUGCCAAGCAAACAACCCUCACCACUUUUUUUCAAACCGGUGUCAUCUCCUGUUGCCGGGGGUUCUGUGAGUCUUCCUUCACCCCUUGCUGUGCUUGAUAUGAUCCCGACACCACAACCAGCACUCAUCUCCCGGAGCGAACACACCUGCCACUGUUGGGAAUAUCCACUGACAGGACCCAAAGGGAAUAAAGUGGACACGGGUCCCCUGGAAUAACAGAAGUUCAAGUCUUCUAAGGGACGCCUCUACAAAAGGGAAAGCCACUUGAGAAUCCGCUGGAUGUUCUUACUCACCAACUGAGGACCUCUGGUUUACUCCUGCCCGUCAGAUCUACGUACCUGAAACUAUACUGGUCUAUAUUGUAGAUUUUGUAUAUACCAAUAUUCACCUUGGCAAGGAGGGAAUGGUAAGGCAAUGUUUGGAAUCAUGGUGGAACCCGGAGCAGGAGAGAGUACAGAGAAUGUUGCCAGAUGAUGUCUGAUAUGUCAAGAACAUAAACCAGGAAAAGGCACCCCAUGCCCAAAGGAUAUAUCCAUUGCUGAGAUACCCUUUUUGCCAACUACAACUUGAUUUUAUCAAAUUACCACAUGUGCACUGUUAUAAGUAAUGUCUUGUAAUUCCUGAUGUUUUUAGUAAAUCAUUUGAAGCAUAUCUCACCACAGGUAACAAAGUCUAUGCUGUAGUGUGUAUUUUGUUGAAAGAAAUCAUUCCCAAGUUCGGGUUACCGGUGCAAAUUGUAUCUGACAGCGGCCCUCAUUUUCUGGGUGAGAUUUAUACCCAACUAUGCCAGGGUCUGGGUAUUAAAUGGACAUUCCGUUACCCCCACAGACCGCAGGCCUCCGGCCUGAUUGGAAGGGCUUAUUGGACGCUAAAAACAAAUUGGCUAAACUAGGACAAGAAACUGGUCAAAAUUGGCUCAAAGUGCAAUGUAUAGUCUUAUUCCAGAUGAGUACUCAUUAUCAUGGUCUGUCAGUGGCCAAAAUAGUAUAUGGCACACCGUUAAGAACCCCCUGGAAAGCUGCCUUGCCGACCCCAACAUUACCUGAGAUGGACCUGAAUCAAAUCUGGAAUGAAAUUGUAGGGCACUAACCAAAUCUCUCCAGGUCUUGCAUUUGCAGGUGAAGGAGGCCCACCAGGAAGCAGGGGAACUGGAAAAUGAACAUUGAGUUCACCUAGUAGACUGUUCUCGUAAAGAACCAUCAUAGAAAGAAGCUUAAGCAUCAUUGGAAAGGACCCUAUCAAGUGUUACUCACCACUCCGAAGGCAGUCAAACUACAAGGACUUCUGAAAUGGGCAUAUCUAGGACAUGUCAAAUGUGUGCAUUCAUGACUAAGCUAUUACUGUCUAUGCGUGUAAUCUUGAGCGCUUAUAUUGUAAUAACCAAGCCAAGCACCUUCCUGUCACUUUGCUGUAGUCAUGCUGGGAAAACUAACUCAUCUGCCUGCUAGGUGUGUGUAGCGAUUCCUCCCCAUGGAAAAAUAGAGGUUCCCCUAAUAGCCAUUCCACUGAAAAGCAGUGAACAACGGUCAGUCUGGGCCUUUUCUAAUGACAUUCAGACUAGUGAGGGCCAAAAUUACACGAGUGAUGUGAUUGGAGACUGUGGAUCCCACUGCUUUGAUAAUUGGUACAUUUGCUUCCUCUUCCCCCCCCCCCAGAAAAAGCCAUCCAAUGGGGAGGUCAGACAUCAUGGCCCUCCACCAUUGUCAGAUCUGACCAAUGAGUGAAUACUAUCUGCUGCUGCAAAUUCAAAGAUAAGGGGAUUUACUUUUUGGGCAAUAGCACUUAUGCCAUUUAUACAGCGGUCAAACUAUCAUGCCCCCUGAAUGGGCUCAAUGGGUUUGCUGGGAAAGGGCCUACUUGUGGCUCCCAGGAGAGAAACAGAAAUUAGAUGGGAUGCUACUUCCUGACUUACCUUGUACCCGCAUGUGAAUGCUAAAAACCCUGGACCAGCACUCUUCCCUCCUACGGCAGAAGCAACAAAUGUCACAACCAGAGUGCUUCUGGAUGAUAGCUUUCCCCUUCUACGGGCGGCCCACAAUUCAAGGAAAAUCAUCAACCUGGCCACGGUUUUGGAGGAGAUGGGCAAUGGUACCAUUAAGGCCAUGGAUGGCGUCCAGGAACAGGUGAGGGCCGUCACCGCUGAAAUGAUGGUGCUACAAAGUACAGCUUUACAGAACUGAAUCACCCUUGAUUUUGUACUGGCCAAAAACGAAAGUGCAAGUGCCGUUAUAGGAUGGAAGUACUGCACCUACAUUCCAGAUGAAUCAGAAAACAUUACCUCUCUCUCCAUUCACAUUCAAAAGGAGGUAAAUAAAAUCUGGAAAGUCAGGGCCAACCUACAUGAUAUUAGCCCAAAAGGGGGAUGGUGUCCCAUCAGUGGCAUCUUCACAGGGUGGAGCGGUAUACUGCUAGAUUCUGCUAUCAUCGCAGGAGUGCUCAUACUUGUACUUCUCUGAUGUUUCUGGCCCCUUGUCAGUCAGUGUUCUUGCCCUACACCUGCAGGGGUAUUUAUACAAAGAGUCCCCCAGAGGGAAGGGGAGCUCAGAGAGACCGAGGUGCAAAUGAUGAGGAUGGAGACUACAAAGACUCAGAAAGCCCUUUGGCUUAUCCCAAGGAUUACUAUCCACCCUUCUUACACGACUAUGAAAAUUAAGAUGUACAACAACCCCAACAUUGAUAAUCCUAGUUUUCAUGGAAUGACAAAAGGAGGAAAUGAAGAAUUAUAUACAGAAUUAAAAGGGUUUAACCUGACUGACUUGUUUUGCAGUUUGGCUAGUCAUGCUGUGGGAAUGAUGUUGCAAGAUAACUAAGGAACAAUGGAGUGCUUGUUGCAUCAGAACGCUGCUUUGUGUAACCACUAAGCUUGGAUGCCUGGCAAUGAUCAGAGUAACAGGUGAUAACAAAUGUUUAACAAGCAGCCCUGGACAGUGCUCGGGGCUCACUUGAUUACAGACUUUCCAGCCUCUAUGAGCCGGGGCUCUGUGGUAUCAACUGAGAUGCAAGUUUGGCAAUAAACACUAUGUAAUCUUAAGUAAGCUGCGUCUGACAAUUAUUCCCUUGGUCUGAACCUGAAGUAUUCUGGUCGAGCGCAGAUCAACAUAGCCUCCUCCACUGUCAGGAUAAGACCACAUUUAGGUUGGAGGAACAACACCUUACAUUCCAUUUGGGCAGCCUCCAACCUGAUGGCAUGAACAUCAAUUUCUCAAACUCCCAGUAAUGCCUCCAUCCCCUCUUUCACCAUUUCUCAUGCCCCUGUCCCCCUCUCAUGUUAUCUCCUUGCCCACCCAUUGCCUUCUUCUGGUGCUCCUCUCUCCUGCCUUUUCCUCUUUCUUCCAUGACCUUCUGUCUCUUUCACCAAUCAACUUCCUAGCUCUUUGCUUCACCUCUCCCCCUCCAAAGUUUCACACAUCGCCUGGUGUUCUUCUCUCCCCUCCCCCACCUUUCAAAUCUACUCCUCAGCUUUUUUUCUCUGGUCCUGCCGAAGGGUUUCAGCCUGAAACAUCGACUGUACUUUUUUUCCAUAGAUGCUGCCAGCAUUUUGUGUGUGUGUCUGUGUGUGUUGCUAAAAUUUCCCUCUGUUCAUUUUGAGCUGAGAUUUGUGAAGGUUAAAUGUUAGCAGUUAACACAUUGGAAUAAUCAUUGUAAUAAGAUAAAGUCAUGAAAGAGGUUUCAGAGACAGAUGGUGGAGGUAAGGUCAGGGAUAUACAGAGAAUAUACUUCUGAUGAUUAGGGCCAGCUCUGGUUGAGAGGCAAUACCAGGUUAUAAAUAUCUGAAACAAUAUAGAAUGCUGAACAGUAUUACUAAAACUGUUUGGAAGUACCUAUCCUGAUUCUGGCAUUGUUUUGAUCAAUGAUACUCUAAAUGAGAAUUAUGAUAAUCAUUUUGCCACAGAAUUGUGUUCUCAAGAAAUAUAUAAAAUACUUUGAGGGCAUUUAUAGAAAAAAAAACUUAAUUAGAAGAUGGGAUAGAAAAAGUAAACCCAAAGUACUUUCCAAGCAUACUGAUUAUACUCAGCUAAGGAGAAACAGAUUCAAACCAGAAUAAGACAAAUUCAGAUGAACUUUCACAUUAUUGUUACCUAAAGAAUGAUGCAUGGGAACAUUCCAUUAAGGUGUUAGAAAUAAAAUUAAAAUGAAUUUUGAACCAGACAGACAAGUUUUCACAAUCUAAACAUUCAGGAAAUCAGAUUUAUCUUUAGUAUUUCUUAUUUCUCCCAGUGAAUGGGUUUCAGGAUAGUUUUUGGGGAUGUUUGAGACCCAUAGAAAAUAAUAAUUCCAGCUGUAAUUUGUGUUCUGCUUCUGUAUGGAACCAUGGUAUGAAUUGUUGAUGUCCUAUGCUUUCUGGUUUACACAUAAAAAUUAUAUAGAGCAGAUGCAAUACACUUAUUGACUGGCUGGAACUGGUUUUCAUACCCAUAAAAUGCAUCAUAAUUUCUUGGGGAUGUUUUUGAGAUCAAGAAUUAAUUUCUUCUCCAAUCUUGUGGACUCUAGAGCAGCUGAUAGGUUUUUGUAGGACCUACAAGCUCAACAAUGCAUAGGGAUAGAGAUGCCUGACUGGACAAGUGAAUGUAUGGUUUAAGAGGCAAGGCAUUCUUUUGCUGUUUAUACUGGGCUCUUGUGUGUCUCUUGAGAAAACAAUAAAGUCGACAAUGCUAUUCUGUAAGUUGAUUCUCAAUUCUGAGUGGUAAUCAGUCAGUGAUUUCCGUAAGUUAAUGAGGAUGUAACAAUUUUUCAAGGAGACUGCUAAAUGAUCUUCAAUAUUUUUUCUUUCUACCAUAUCAUAAGAUAUAGGAGCAGAAUUAGGCCAUUUGGCGCAUGGAGUCUACUCCACCAUUUCAUCAUGGCUGAUCCAUUUUUCCUCUCAGCUCCAAUAUCCUGCCCUCCCCCUUCCCAUAUCUCUUCAUGCCCUGACCAAUCAAGAAUCUAUCAACCUCAGCCUUAAAUAUGCAUAAAGACUUGGCCUUCACAGCUGCCUGUGACAACAAAUUCCACAAAUUCAGCAUUCUCUAGCUAAAGAAUUUCCUCCUCAUAUCCAUUCUUAAAGGAUGUCCCACUAUUCUGUGGCUGUAUUGUCUGGUCCCAGACUUUCCCACCAUAGGAAUCAUCCUCUCUACAUGUACUUCCAUCAUUCCAUCAUUCAAUGAUG